AUUGAACGCUGGCGGCAGGCCUAACACAUGCAAGUCGAACGGUAACAGGAAGAAGCUUGCUUCUUUGCUGACGAGUGGCGGACGGGUGAGUAAUGUCUGGGAAACUGCCUGAUGGAGGGGGAUAACUACUGGAAACGGUAGCUAAUACCGCAUAACGUCGCAAGACCAAAGAGGGGGACCCUCGGGCCUCUUGCCAUCGGAUGUGCCCAGAUGGGAUUAGCUAGUAGGUGGGGUAACGGCUCACCUAGGCGACGAUCCCUAGCUGGUCUGAGAGGAUGACCAGCCACACUGGAACUGAGACACGGUCCAGACUCCUACGGGAGGCAGCAGUGGGGAAUAUUGCACAAUGGGCGCAAGCCUGAUGCAGCCAUGCCGCGUGUAUGAAGAAGGCCUUCGGGUUGUAAAGUACUUUCAGCGGGGAGGAAGGGAGUAAAGUUAAUACCUUUACUCAUUGACGUUACCCGCAGAAGAAGCACCGGCUAACUCCGUG
rnacentral:rRNA from 1 species